rnacentral:rRNA from 1 species
UCGAACGGCAGCACGGGAGCUUGCUCCUGGUGGCGAGUGGCGAACGGGUGAGUAAAGCAUCGGAACGUACCUUGUCGAGGGGGAUAACGCAGCGAAAGUUGUGCUAAUACCGCAUACGUCCUGAGGGAGAAAGCGGGGGACCGCAAGGCCUCGCGCGAUGAGAGCGGCCGAUGUCAGAUUAGCUAGUUGGUGAGGUAAAGGCUCACCAAGGCGACGAUCUGUAGCGGGUCUGAGAGGAUGAUCCGCCACACUGGAACUGAGACACGGUCCAGACUCCUACGGGAGGCAGCAGUGGGGAAUUUUGGACAAUGGGCGCAAGCCUGAUCCAGCCAUGCCGCGUGAGUGAAGAAGGCCUUCGGGUUGUAAAGCUCUUUCAGACGGAAAGAAAUCGGGCGCGUGAAUAGCGUGCCUGGAUGACGGUACUGUCAGAAGAAGCACCGGCUAACUACGUGCCAGCAGCCGCGGUAAUA